AGAGACAAUCCGCAGCCCCUGGGUCUGUGAACCGCCAGUCGCCUGCAAAACGUGCCCCCAACAACACCAGGGGAAAUGACACUUUGGCUCCAUUUGGUUUUCUUCGUAGCAGCUCUGGAAGGGGCCCGCUCGCAGGUGGUUCUGACCCAGUCGGGGCCAGCGCUGAAGAAGCCCGGAGAGUCCCAUAAACUGCAAUGUGCCACCAGCGGGUUCACUCUUAGCAGCUACUGGAUGGGCUGGAUCAGACAGAAGCCGGGAAAGGGGCUGGAGUGGCUGGCUUGGUAUUACAGUGAGGGAAGCAAGUACUACGCCUCCUCCGUCCAGGGCCGAUUCACAGCCUCCAAGGACAGCACCAACUUCUACCUGCAAAUGACCAGCCUGAGAGCGGAGGACACCGCCGUGUAUUAUUGCGCCAGAGACACAGUGAGGGGAAGUGAAUCUGAGCUCAGACAAAAACCUUCCCCUGCAGUAACAGUGCAACGUGUCCCCUGCUGA